ACAGCUACUUUCGCUAUAAACGCAUUUCAGAAGAAAUGGAUUUUGGAUGCCAAGCAAAACCACCAUCUGAUGCCAAAGGCGUUUACAGUAAAAACAUUUGAUUCUAAUGACAAUGAAGUCGUAUCCAGAAAAGCUCCAGAACCAUGUCAUUACCAAGGCUCUAUUCGUGGAAUCCCUGAUUCUGUUAUUGUUUUAGAUACGUGCAGUGGA